CAGUCGCCGCGGGAAUACGUAGGGCGCAAGCGUUAUCCGGAAUUAUUGGGCGUAAAGAGCUCGUAGGCGGUUUGUCGCGUCUGCCGUGAAAGUCUGGGGCUCAACCCCGGAUCUGCGGUGGGUACGGGCAGACUAGAGUGAUGUAGGGGAGACUGGAAUUCCUGGUGUAGCGGUGAAAUGCGCAGAUAUCAGGAGGAACACCGAUGGCGAAGGCAGGUCUCUGGGCAUUAACUGACGCUGAGGAGCGAAAGCAUGGGGAGCGAACAGGAUUAGAUACCCCAGUAGUCCCUGUCUCUUAUAC
rnacentral:rRNA from 1 species